rnacentral:rRNA from 1 species
UACGAAGGGGGCUAGCGUUGCUCGGAAUUACUGGGCGUAAAGGGCGCGUAGGCGGGUAUUUAAGUCAGGGGUCAAAUCCCAGGGCUCAACCCUGGAACUGCCUUUGAUACUGGAUACCUAGAGUGCGGGAGAGGUGAGUGGAACUCCGAGUGUAGAGGUGAAAUUCGUAGAUAUUCGGAAGAACACCAGUGGCGAAGGCGACUCACUGGCCCGUUACUGACGCUGAGGCGCGAAAGCGUGGGGAGCAAACAGG